GGAGUUUGAUGCUGAUGAGACAUCUGAGGCAGAUUUGCUUGAAAUCUUACCCGAACCCAUUCUUGAAACCGUAUCUACAGACUUGUCCGAUCCUGAAGUCUCUGACAACUUAACGGCCGAGCCUAGUCCUGUGACAUUACCAACUCUUAAUAGCUCAGAUUCGGUUGCUGACCCCCCUCUGAGGCGGUCAACGCGUCACAGAUCACCACCUAGGCGACUUCAGUAUGCCCAUUUAGGCAAUCCAUUGAUAUCAGUUGUUCAGUCUCUGUUACAUAGUCUGUCAGAUGCUUUAACCACCACAACCACCAAUUCUAAUUCUUCAGUCGUACAUGUUGUGUAGUGUUAACAUGCAACGGGUCGUGCAUGUAUUCAAGGGGGGAGGGUGUAACCCAGAGUAAAAUCUGUUUUACUAGCAUUUAGCAAUUUCCUGCACUUAUUUCCUGCCAUUGAACACAUCACCAAUACAUGACUCCAACCACAUGACUUUGCUCAGCCAAUCGGAUGGCAUGUAGGUCAUAGUAAGCCUGUCCCGGCUUCCUCCCGUCAGAUGCGUGGAGGCAAGCCAGGUGACAGAGCUGUUGCAGACGCUGAUUACUGUGAGCCAGAGCCAUAGUGUUGUUGUGCACUGAACAGAACGGAAUUGGCCAGGUGACCCUUUUUGGGUAUGAAAAAGGAUGGCGAGCCAAUGAACGGCUAGGAGCAGGACUCAUUCUGCAUUUUAGCUUCCACUGGACUGGUAGGAAGCUAUCAAAGACGACGCUCUGUCCCCAUUUCCCAAACACACUGAUUUCCACAAUCAUACACACCAUUCCCCCCGUUUAUGGACAAUAGCGCUUGGACAUCUCUCAUGGACAUUCAGAUAAAACUCAUGGACUUCAGUGUGGAUCAGUGGUUUUGAUGUUAACAUGUGUUAUUUAUGGGGAACUGUUUUUUGAGAAUCUAUAUUGCUUGGUAUAAGCCAUAAGCCAGAAGAAUUUGCUUAGUUGUCUUUGUGCACCCCCACUGGGUUUUGAUUAAUUGAAUAGCUGCAGCAGG